CGUGCUGUGACUGGUGGACCUUCAGGAGACAGGAGAACAGGCCAUGCUGUGACUGGUAGGCCUUCAGGAGACAGGAGACCAGGCCAUGCUGUGACUGGUAGGCCUUCAGGAGACAGGAGACCAGGCCGUGCUGUGACUGGUAGGCCUUCAGGAGACAGGAGACCAGGCCGUGCUGUGACUGGUGGGUCUUCAGGAGACAGGAGAACAGGCCGUGCUAUGACUGGUAGGCCUUCAGGAGACAGGAGACCAGGCCGUGCUGUGACUGGUGGACCUUCAGGAGACAGGAGAACAGGCCGUGCUGUGACUGGUAGGCCUUCAGGAGACAGGAGACCAGGCCGUGCUGUGACUGGUAGGCCUUCAGGAGACAGGAGACCAGGCCGUGCUGUGACUGGUAGGCCUUCAGGAGACAGGAGACCAGGCCGUGCCGUGACUGGUGGACCUUCAGGAGACAGGAGACCAGGCCGUGCCAUGACUGGUGGGCCUUCAGGAGACAGGAGAACAGGCCGUGCCGUGACUGGUAGGCCUUCAGGAGACAGGAGAACAGGCCGUGCUGUGACUGGUGGGUCUUCAGGAGACUAGGCUGUGCCGUGACUGGUGGGCCUUCAGGAGACUAGGCUGUGCCGUGACUGGUGGGCCUUCAGGAGACUAGGCUGUGCCGUGACUGGUGGGACUUCAGGAGACCAGGCCGUGCAGUGACUGGUGGGCCUUCUUGAGCUGACAGAGUGAAGCAGACACAUUAUGCUGGCUUGAAUUAGUUUCUUUCUGAUCAUGUUUCCUUACUUCCAUCCCAUCCUCAUCCAUAAUCUUCCCGUGACCCUUUUGUCAUCCCUACCUUGACUGCACUUGUCUGUGAGAAAAGAAAGACACGGCCUUAACAACCAUCAGCUGGUCCUGGCUUGGAGGCUGGCAGCUAGGCCACAUGGUUUCCUAAUGAAUAUAAACCACUUCACACUGCAUUAACACCAGCUUCGGACUCUCCACGGUUACAAACAAGACAGAGACAAGGCUACUUCAUACACAUGGACUGGGUUCUCAAAGCUCCAUCCCCAUUUAUUCCUCCAUCCACCAAUGCCUGCCCUGCCUAUCUAUCAGUAACAAUGAAUGAGCACCCCCAUGUGGUCUUGGGUCAAGCUGAAUACAGGUCCCUGCAAAAAUCAACUUAAUGGACAACACUUGAAUUUUGUUUUUAAAACUUCAGGCUAGGGCUUCAUCUUAUUCCAUAAAAUAUUCCAUAAUAAUUUCAUGUGCUUUAAGAUGUUUUUGGUUAUACUGUUUGCAUUAAAAUGAUACUCCAAG